GAUGAACGCUGGCGGCGUGCCUAAUACAUGCAAGUCGAGCGAACGGACGAGAAGCUUGCUUCUCUGAUGUUAGCGGCGGACGGGUGAGUAACACGUGGAUAACCUACCUAUAAGACUGGGAUAACUUCGGGAAACCGGAGCUAAUACCGGAUGAUAUUUUGAACCGCAUGGUUCAAAAGUGAAAGACGGUCUUGCUGUCACUUAUAGAUGGAUCCGCGCUGCAUUAGCUAGUUGGUAAGGUAACGGCUUACCAAGGCAACGAUGCAUAGCCGACCUGAGAGGGUGAUCGGCCACACUGGAACUGAGACACGGUCCAGACUCCUACGGGAGGCAGCAGUAGGGAAUCUUCCGCAAUGGGCGAAAGCCUGACGGAGCAACGCCGCGUGAGUGAUGAAGGUCUUCGGAUCGUAAAACUCUGUUAUUAGGGAAGAACAUAUGUGUAAGUGACUGUGCACAUCUUGACGGUACCUAAUCAGAAAGCCACGGCUAACUACGUG
rnacentral:rRNA from 1 species